rnacentral:rRNA from 1 species
UGUAAGCGUAUACCAAAGUUGUUGCAGUUAAAACGCUCGUAGCCGGAAUUUGGCAGUUCCGGAUGUGUGCACGUCGUGUGCGCACUUCGCGGGGAUUGCUUUUGUGGUCUUGCGUAGGAUGAGGCACUUUUAUUAGUGAACGUCCUCACGCAACCACUUUUUACUGUGAGAAAAUCAGAGUGCUCAAAGCAGGCAUUUGCCGUGAAUGUAUUAGCAUGGAAUAAUAGAAUAGGACUUGGUUCUAUUUUGUUGGUUUGUUGGGACUGAGUAAUGAUUAAGAGGGACAGUUGGGGGCAUUUGUAUUUCGGUGCUAGAGGUGAAAUUCUUAGAUUACCGAAAGACAAACUGCUGCGAAAGCGUCUGCCAAGGAUGUUUCCAUUGA